rnacentral:rRNA from 1 species
UACGGGGGGGGCAAGCGUUGUUCGGAAUUACUGGGCGUAAAGGGCUCGUAGGCGGCCAACUAAGUCAGACGUGAAAUCCCCAGGCUUAACCUGGGAACUGCGUCUGAUACUGGAUGGCUUGAAUUCGGGAGAGGGAUGCAGAAUUCCAGGUGUAGCGGUGAAAUGCGUAGAUAUCGGAAGGAACAUCAGUGGCGAAAGCGACUUCCUGGACCAAUACUGACGCUCAUGUGCGAAAGCGUGGGGAGCAAACAGG